rnacentral:lncRNA from 1 species
GCAGAGCUCACCUGACGAGUGGGAGUGUUGUUCUCCCACCAAGAAAGGGUCUUUCCUUGGAGACCAAGGGAAGCCUCAACUGCCAGAAAACUGGUCUCCUGGAUCCUAAAGGUGACCUUCUUCCACGUCUGCCAGACCUUUCCCAUUGAGGUCAGAGGGAAGAUAAGACAACUGUGGCCUGCUGGCCUUUCCUUCCCAUCAGUGAUGUGCUGGAACCCAGGAGUAACUGGCUUAAAUUUCAUUAGCCUGAAUGGAAGGAAGAUAAAGUGGCUGUUGAGUUAACAGAUGGACAAGUUGGAAAGAAAGGACGUAUUGCUGAUCUCAUCUUCUGCUCAGGUAUGUUGUUAAUUGCGGAGACAACCUGAUCUUUGUUGAGAACCAGGUCUUUCAACCUGGGUACAC